AGGCCACUGCUAUGGGGUCCGACUAAGCCAUGCGAGUCAUGGGGCGCGCUCUGCGCGCACCGGCGGACGGCUCAGUAACACGUCGGUAACCUACCCUCGGGAGGGGGAUAACCCCGGGAAACUGGGGCUAAUCCCCCAUAGGCCUGAGGUACUGGAAGGUCCUCAGGCCGAAAGGGGCUUUGCCCGCCCGAGGAUGGGCCGGCGGCCGAUUAGGUAGUUGGUGGGGUAAUGGCCCACCAAGCCGAAGAUCGGUACGGGCCAUGAGAGUGGGAGCCCGGAGAUGGACACUGAGACACGGGUCCAGGCCCUACGGGGCGCAGCAGGCGCGAAACCUCCGCAAUGCGGGCAACCGCGACGGGGGGACCCCCAGUGCCGUGGCAUCGCCACGGCUUUUCCGGAGUGUAAAAAGCUCCGGGAAUAAGGGCUGGGCAAGGCCGGUGGCAGCCGCCGCGGUAAUACCGGCGGCCCGAGUGGUGGCCGCUAUUAUUGGGCCUAAAGCGUCCGUAGCCGGGCCCGUAAGUCCCUGGCGAAAUCCCACGGCUCAACCGUGGGGCUUGCUGGGGAUACUGCGGGCCUUGGGACCGGGAGAGGCCGGGGGUACCCCUGGGGUAGGGGUGAAAUCCUAUAAUCCCAGGGGGACCGCCAGUGGCGAAGGCGCCCGGCUGGAACGGGUCCGACGGUGAGGGACGAAGGCCAGGGGAGCGAACCGGAUUAGAUACCCGGGUAGUCCUGGCUGUAAAGGAUGCGGGCUAGGUGUCGGGCGAGCUUCGAGCUCGCCCGGUGCCGAAGGAAGCCGUUAAGCCCGCCGCCUGGGGAGUACGGCCGCAAGGCUGAAACUUAAAGGAAUUGGCGGGGGAGCACUACAAGGGUGGAGCGUGCGGUUUAAUUGGAUUCAACGCCGGGAACUUCACCGGGGGCGACGGCAGGAUGAAGGCCAGGCUGAAGGUCUUGCCGGACACGCCGAGAGGAGGUGCAUGGCCGCCGUCAGCUCGUACCGUGAGGCGUCCACUUAAGUGUGGUAACGAGCGAGACCCGCGCCCCCAGUUGCCAGUCCUCCCCGCUGGGGAGGAGGCACUCUGGGGGGACCGCCGGCGAUAAGCCGGAGGAAGGAGCGGGCGACGGUAGGUCAGUAUGCCCCGAAACCCCCGGGCUACACGCGCGCUACAAUGGGCGGGACAAUGGGAUCCGACCCCGAAAGGGGAAGGGAAUCCCCUAAACCCGCCCCCAGUUCGGAUCGCGGGCUGCAACUCGCCCGCGUGAAGCUGGAAUCCCUAGUACCCGCGUGUCAUCAUCGCGCGGCGAAUACGUCCCUGCUCCUUGCACACACCGCCCGUCACUCCACCCGAGCGGGGUCUGGAUGAGGCCUGAUCUCCCUUCGGGGAGGUCGGGUCGAGUCUGGGCUCCGUGAGGGGG
rnacentral:rRNA from 1 species